AGUUUGAUCAUGGCUCAGGACGAACGCUGGCGGCGUGCUUAACACAUGCAAGUCGAACGAUGAACCGCUUUCGGGCGGGGAUUAGUGGCGAACGGGUGAGUAACACGUGGGCAAUCUGCCCUGCACUCUGGGACAAGCCCUGGAAACGGGGUCUAAUACCGGAUAUGACUGUCCAUCGCAUGGUGGAUGGUGUAAAGCUCCGGCGGUGCAGGAUGAGCCCGCGGCCUAUCAGCUUGUUGGUGAGGUAGUGGCUCACCAAGGCGACGACGGGUAGCCGGCCUGAGAGGGCGACCGGCCACACUGGGACUGAGACACGGCCCAGACUCCUACGGGAGGCAGCAGUGGGGAAUAUUGCACAAUGGGCGAAAGCCUGAUGCAGCGACGCCGCGUGAGGGAUGACGGCCUUCGGGUUGUAAACCUCUUUCAGCAG
rnacentral:rRNA from 1 species